rnacentral:tRNA from 1 species
GGGGUUGUAGCUCAGUUGGUAGAGUGCUUGCCUAGCAUGUGUGAGGCACUGGGUUCAAUCCUCAGCAAACACA